UAAACAAGUUAAGUCACUAAAGAUUUCCUGAUCCUGAUGCUGGCCAGACUAUGUGGAAAUGUGGUUCCUGAACAUGUUUCUGGAGGUGCUGGAUAUGAUUACAAACCUCAGGAAGCAGGUUGGUGGUGGAACGAUCAAUUGACAAGUAUGACCAUCCCAUUUAAGAGACCCACUUGUUGUAACCAUGAGAAAUAAUGAUGAAGAUACAAGGAAAAUAAGAUUUGGACUUUACAAUGAAAGAUCCUCAUUGCAGAAUUAGGGAGCUGUCACCACAGAUCGUGUGUAUGAGAACUCAGUUCUUAUAAUGGGAACCUGGGCCAAUUAACAUUCACCCUCAACAUGGCGCUUCAUCUGAUGAAAGCCAUUUCACGCCCAGGAGAAGAGUAAAAGAAACACAAGAACAGCUGCAGCAGUCAGAGCUCACCUUCGGACACCAGGUAGCCUGCACUCUGCCCAGUAGUUCCUAAGUGCUUCAGCACCUAACGCAGAUGAUCAUAACGGGACACUGAAUCUCUCCCAUGGUUUUUAUUGAUGUGCUGACUCUUUCAGAUGGCUCUUGGUGAGAAGGUGACUCAGGACAACUGGCUCGGGGCUCGUGAUCUGGAGAGGGCGGUGGCUGAGCAGAGCAGGGAGGUGGCCUACUUGAAGUGCAGACUGGAAGUCAUCCAAAGACAGAGGCUUCCAGAGGAAUUCAGGAGGCACAAACCAAUGGCAAGAAGACCUGACAGGGAGAUCUCUCCAUGGAGAGAUAUGGAGCACAUCGUGAAAUGCAGUAGUUUAACUUCUGCAGCAACAUCUGCACAAUUGGCUUAUUGUUCCCGUGGGUGUAAUUGUUUGGUCUCCUGCAAACAGUCCCAGGUGGUUACUAGAGGGCAAAGUUGUCUCACAGUGGUGACAGGACACUGUUCCUCAGAUGCCCCAGCCAGCAGAGG
rnacentral:lncRNA from 1 species